rfam:Triticum aestivum genome assembly, contig: Triticum_aestivum_CS42_TGACv1_scaffold_222080_3B
UUGCUACUCCCUCCAAUCCAUAUUACUUGUCGCUCAAAUGGAUGUAUUUAGCACUGAAAUACGUCUAGAUACAUCCGUUUGAGUGACAAGUAAUAUGGAUCGGAGGGAGUAAUUG